UGGGGAAUAUUGCACAAUGGGGGGAACCCUGAUGCAGCAACGCCGCGUGAGUGAAGAAGGUUUUCGGAUUGUAAAGCUCUGUCUUUGGGGACGAUAAUGACGGUACCCAAGGAGGAAGCCACGGCUAACUACGUGCCAGUAGCCGCGGUAAUACGUAGGUGGCGAGCGUUGUCCGGAUUUACUGGGUGUAAAGGAUGCGUAGGCGGAUGUUCAAGUCAGAUGUGAAAAUCCCGGGCUUAACUUGGGAAUUGCAUUUGAAACUGGAUAUCUGGAGUGCAGGAGAGGUGAGCGGAAUUCCUAGUGUAGCGGUGAAAUGCGUAGAUAUUAGGAAGAACACCGGUGGCGAAGGCGGCUCACUGGACUGUAACUGACGCUGAGGCAUGAAAGCGUGGGUAGCAAACAG
rnacentral:rRNA from 1 species